rnacentral:lncRNA from 1 species
GUUUGGGUUUUUGCCGUUAAAUGCCUUGAAUGCUUCAAAAAGAAAGGUAAAUCGUACCAGUCACAACUCAUCAUAGACGUUGUUCGUACGUUUAAUUGUUAUUGUCUGAAGCAAAAAAAAACACCAAACAACAACAACAAACAAACAUACAAACAAACAAACAGAAAACAAUCAGAUUUCAGAAAAUCUCUUGCAGAUCAGAUACGAUAAAUUUACGGGGAC